rnacentral:rRNA from 1 species
GACGUAGGGUGCGAGCGUUGUCCGGAUUUAUUGGGCGUAAAGAGCUCGUAGGCGGCUUGUCGCGUCGACCGUGAAAACUUGGGGCUCAACCCCAAGCCUGCGGUCGAUACGGGCAGGCUAGAGUUCGGUAGGGGAGACUGGAAUUCCUGGUGUAGCGGUGAAAUGCGCAGAUAUCAGGAGGAACACCGGUGGCGAAGGCGGCAUCCUGGACCGGCAUUGACGCUGAGGAGCGAAAGCAUGGGGAGCGAACAGG